UGAGUCCUGGCUCAGAUUGGUCGCUGGCGGGAUGCUUUACAUAAAGUCGAACGCCAGCACGGACUUCGGUCUGGUGGCGAGUGGCGAACAGGUGAGUAAUGUAUCGGAACGUGCCUAGUAGCGGGGGAUAACUACGCAAAAGCGUAGCUAAUACCGCAUACGCCCUUCGGGGAAAAUGGGGGGACCCCGGGCCUGCGCACUAUUAAAACGGCCAGUAUCGGAUUAGCUGGUUGGUGGGGCUAUGCUCACGCCAGGCGACGAUCCGUAGCUGGUUUGAAAGGACGAUAAUACACUGGGACGAGACACGGCCAGACUCCUACAGAACGCAGUGGGGGGUACGGACAAUGGAAACCACAGUCCAGCCAUCCCGCGUGUGCGAUGAAAGGCCUUCGGGUUGUAAAGCACUUUUGGCAGAAAAACAACGCAGGAUAAUACCCGUGCAACUGACGGUACCUGCAGAAUAAGCACUGACUAACUACGUGCCAGCAGCCGCGAUAAUACAUGGGUGCAAGCGGUGAUUAAUCGGAAUUACUGGGCGUAAAGCGUGCGCAGGCGGUUCGGAAAGAAAGAUGUGAAAUCCCAGAGCUUAACUUUGGAACUGCAUUUUUUAACUACCGAGCUAGAGUGUGUCAGAGGAAGUGGAAUUCCGCGUGUAGCAGUGAAAUGCGUAGAUAUGCAGGAGGAACACCGAUGGCGAAGGCAGCCUCAGGAUAACAUGACGCUCAUGCACGAAAGCGUGGGGAGCAAACGGGAUUAGAAUGCCGGUCCACGCCCUAAACGAUGUCAACUAGCUGUUGGGGCCUUCGGGCCUUGGUAGCGCUAACGCGUGAAGUUGACCGCCUGGGGAAAUACGGUCGCAAGAUUAAACUCAAAGGAAUUGACGGGGACCCACUGAAAAGCAUUGGAUGAUGUGGAUUAAUUCGAUGCAACGCGAAAAACCUUACCUACCCUUGACAUGUCUGGAAUCCCGAAGAGAUUUGGGAGUGCUCGCAAGAGGAGAACCGGAACACAGGUGCUGCAUGGCUGUCGUCAGCUCGUGUCGUGAAGAUGUUGGGUUAAGUCCCGCAACAGCGAGCGCAACCCUUGUCAUUAGUUGCUACGAAGGGCACUCUAAUGAGACUGCCGGUGACAAACCGGAGGAAGGUGGGGAUGACGUCAAGUCCUCAUGGCCCUUAUGGGUAGGGCUUCACACGUCAUACAAUGGUCGGGACAGAGGGUCGCCAACCCGCGAGGGGAAUAGCCAGUCGAAACCCGAUCGUCGGAUCGCAGUCUGCAACUCGACUGCGUGAAGUCAGAUAACUAGCCAAUCGCGGAUCAGCAUGUCGCGGUGAAUACGUUCCCGGGUCUUGUACACACCGCCCGUCACACCAUGGGAGUGGGUUUACCAGAAGUAGUUAGCCUAACCGUAAGGAGGGCGAUUACCACGGUAAGUUCAUGACUGGGGUGAAGUCGUAACAAGGUAG
rnacentral:rRNA from 1 species